GCCAAAACCAACUCCAAAGCCAACCCCAAAGGCAACGCCAAAACCAACUCCAAAGCCAACGCCAAAACCAACCCCAAAAGCCACUCAGAAACCAACUCCCAAAAAGCUAGAACCGGCAAAACAACCUCUGCCUCCCGGUGCAAUAUUUCACGCACACAACAGGAAACCUGAAGCUACCGUAGCUACGCUGACGAAGGCUGUAACAGAGAGCAAGCAGAACCAACACCUCGACACUGUUCAGAAUCAAUUCCCAGCGAGGGCUGCCAACAUACACUCAGGCGGGAAUUCUCUGUCGACCCACACCAAGGUUAUCCUCGUAUCGUUGUCCAUCAUCACUAUUGCUCUCACCGUCACCGUUAUUGGCGUCUGGUUCAGGAGAAUAAACCUGUACACCGCGCGGUACGGGAGACACACACUGCUGGAGGAGAACGACGAAGAAUUUGGCGUCUUCAACCGACUCACUUACAACUCAUAUGAUGACAACUCCUACGAGUCAUGGAAGAAUCACACCUACUGAACCCCCGGGCAUGUUUACCAAGUCUGACAUCAUAAUAGCACCAUAGAUAUUUACGUCAUAUGGAAAGAUUUGGUUAGGUUGCAGGAGUAGCCAGAGUUAUUACUUCACAAUGCAGUACGCGACUUGGCCAAUCAGAUUGAAGUAUUUGUUUAUGUUAAUGAGUGAAGCUUCUUUUAAUUGUUCAUGGCUUUGGAAGGUUCAUACCCGCCAUAUACAAGUGAAGAAAGUCAAACAGAUAACUCGACCAGUGAUACCAACUUCCAAAAUUCAUAAAGUGAAGCAUUUUAUUUAUUCAGAUGUCGACAAAUAUUAGGAAAGAAGCAAAAAUCCAAAAUGCCUAACUACAGACAAGAUAUAUCACCAUAGUCUUAGAUUUUAUCAUCAGAAAGUGUUUCAAACAUACACUUUCAACAUCAAUAGUAAAACAAGAUUAAUUUACAAAGUACUGUACAUAAAAACACAGAGAAAAAAGUCUUCCAAGUCACUACGCACUAAGGCUAUACGUUUAAGUGUUGAUAUGUGAACUAGUUAAGUAAGUAAUGUUAAUUUGUAUCUACAGUAUAUGUAUUUUUCGUCAGUUUUCUACAUCACUAUCCAGUAAAUGAGAUGCACAAGUUUAUCCCCAAAAUAUACAAAUGUACAGAACAUAACCAAUAUAAAACUGUAUCAAGUCUCAGUUACAAAGGUAACAGGAUACUCAGGACAGCAACAAAUGGAAAUUACAAAUACUCAAUACCGGAAAUAUGUGAACCAAAAUAUACGCGAAGACUAUUUAUCCGUGAUGUAAACAAAAGAUGUGGUAUGAACUUGGUUUUGAGAAAUAUGAAUGUGGGACAGUGUAGAAAAGUAUUAAAACCGUUUGGCAAUGAAAAAAAGAUAAUGGGAAAUUUAAAAACAUCUAAUAUACUAUAGGACUAGCCGUCUGUCUGUCUGUUCUGGGCAACCGAAACGGCACAAUCAUUUUUCAUCAAACUUGGUGGAAAAAUCGCAAAAAAAUCGUAGAUUGGAACAAACCUGGUCCCAUGUCGAUGGUUUCUUUAGGAAGGCAUUAAUUAACCAUUUUAUUUCCGAUGGAAAACGAUGCAAGUCUACGGACUUGGCGCACCCUCAUUCGCUGUACGCUGUCACGAGCGUUAUAACUUUCACAAGGGCACGUAGGGCCCGCGAUCACUUGUCUUAUUCUAUACACAACCCCACGUUCACAUCCAAGACAGAAUGGUAAAAAAAAUUAAUUUGAUGAAACUGUAUCCUAACUACAAUGUAAAAAAAGGAUAACUAUUAGAAAUUCAUAUAAAAUUGAAGGUGUUAUAAAUAAUAAAUAAUGGAGAAUUGGUGUGGCUGACUGCUUUCCGAGCGAGUCACUUCUGGAGUUCAAAAUUGGUACAAAACUGUUUGGGGGGAACUUUUGUGUGUUUGUGUAAAUAGGACGUUUAGAGGGUGUGUGUGUGUGUGUGUGUGUACCUUUUAAUCUUUAUGUGGGAUGGGGAGACUAACCUAAUCUAACCAAACCCACCUAAGUUUUUUGCAUGUUAAAGUUGAAUGAUUUGAAGCUGAUAUGGCAAGGAUUUUUGGUCCCAUAAACACCUUCUAAACUUUUUUAUAAAAUUUCCGAGACAGUAUCGUACCCAAUCAGAAUGCUCUGCAAGCUUUGAAAUAAACCAAAGCGACUUCACUGCUUGAGGUUUGCACGACUUAUAAGUUGUCAUUUUAUAUAGUGUACACAAUACAACCGAAUACAAAUAUCUAUACCUGUACAGCUUAUGCAACUUCAUGCAGUACAUUAGUUAGUGUUUUAAAUUUUACUGAAUUUUUUCCGUUUUUUAGUCAUCACAACUAAUCAUUGAAGCAGUGCUGAAAUUUUGCGCCUUUGUAGUCUUUCAUGUUUUAUGUUUUCAGGUUGUGUAAAAUCAAACAACUGCCAGCGCCCUAGAACACUGAGUAACUGGCUACUUCAUGAGAACUUCUUGUACCUUUACGACUAACUCUUGAUCAUGCUUAUUUCCCGUCAUUUCUAUGUUUAUAAGCGACAUUAGACUGUACGCUCUCCUCAGGACAGGGGGCAGAAUAUUUUUUACCAAUGACCAAAACCUUAAUUAAUACUGAAUUGUUAAUGUGAGUUAUUUUACAUUUAAGCAAGCAAAAAUAUUCCCAUACUCCUGACUGAAGUGCUGUGUUUGUGUUAAGAUUGCUGUACACCCUGUAGCCUUGCUAUCGUCUGGUGAGAAAACUGUGCUGUGAAAAGGUGAUAAUAUUACUACGCCGUUGGUAGUGCCUUACUAGGAUAUGUGAUUGAUUAGAAUGUCAUGUUGAAUUAUGCAGAAAAUAUACUUGUUUUGUGACUUAUCUGAACAAUAAUAAACUGGUAUAAAUA